rnacentral:rRNA from 1 species
GGAGGAUCCAAGCGUUAUCCGGAAUCAUUGGGUUUAAAGGGUCCGUAGGCGGUUUAAUAAGUCAGUGGUGAAAGCCCAUCGCUCAACGGUGGAACGGCCAUUGAUACUGUUAAACUUGAAUUAUUAGGAAGUAACUAGAAUAUGUAGUGUAGCGGUGAAAUGCUUAGAGAUUACAUGGAAUACCAAUUGCGAAGGCAGGUUACUACUAAUGGAUUGACGCUGAUGGACGAAAGCGUGGGUAGCGAACAGGAUUAGAUACCCUGGUAGUCCACGCCGUAAACGAUGGAUACUAGCUGUUGGAAGCAAUUUCAGUGGCUAAGCGAAAGUGAUAAGUAUCCCACCUGGGGAGUACGUUC